rnacentral:SRP_RNA from 1 species
GACUGUAAUGGUCCAACGGCGAAGUCCCUCACAUUUGGCUCGUAUUCCGUUUACGGAAAUCUUUCCAAUCCCGACCCCGUAAGAUCCCCUCCGCUGGCGCCCAGCCCGAACGCCGCGGUGGCCGCCCGCUCGCGUAGGUAACUCGCGAAUCUGUCGGUGUGCGCCCUAAGCAGUUGGAGAAGACCCUUGAGGGAGGAUUCACUCUGCAGAGACCUCUCCUCCCGUCGCGUGGCGGGUUGGAUUACGACCGCGGAGGGCUCGGGUUGGAAGGGCGAGUCGGAGGAGUACGACGCCAUUUAUU